GCGAGCGUUGUCCGGAAUUACUGGGCGUAAAGAGCUCGUAGGUGGUUUGUCGCGUUGUUCGUGAAAACUCACAGCUUAACUGUGGGCGUGCGGGCGAUACGGGCAGACUGGAGUACUGCAGGGGAGACUGGAAUUCCUGGUGUAGCGGUGGAAUGCGCAGAUAUCAGGAGGAACACCGGUGGCGAAGGCGGGUCUCUGGGCAGUAACUGACGCUGAGGAGCGAAAGCGUGGGGAGCGAACAGG
rnacentral:rRNA from 1 species